AAAUGCCUACGGGGGGCAGCAGUGGGGAAUAUUGCGCAAUGGGCGAAAGCCUGACGCAGCGACGCCGCGUGAGGGAUGAAGGUCUUCGGAUCGUAAACCUCUGUCAGCAGGGAAGAACGGUCACUGUGCUAAUCAGCAGUGAAUUGACGGUACCUGCAAAGGAAGCACCGGCUAACUCCGUGCCAGCAGCCGCGGUAAUACGGAGGGUGCGAGCGUUAAUCGGAAUUACUGGGCGUAAAGCGCUCGUAGGCGGUAUGUCAAGUCAGGGAGGAACUCCCCGCGCUCAACGUGGGAACUGCCUUUGU
rnacentral:rRNA from 1 species